rnacentral:rRNA from 1 species
UACGAGUGGUGCUAGCGUUAUUCGGAGUAACUGGGCGUACAGGGUGCGUAGACGGCAUGUUAAGUCUGUUGUUAAAUACUUCGGCCUAACCGAAGAAAUGCAGUGGAAACUGAUGUGCUUGAGGAUGAAAGAGAGAAGUGGAAUUCCCGGAGUAGCGGUAAAAUGCGUAGAUCUCGGGAGGAACACCAAUGGCGAAGGCAGCUUCUUGGUUCAUACCUGACGUUGAGGCACGAAAGCGUGGGGAGCAAACAGG